ACUGAUCACAUUGAAUCACUGGGAGGAGGUGGAGAACUGAAAGUUGUGUCAAAGGUGAUUGAGCCCUGCUACUGGUAUGAGAAAGUCUAGCUUAGAUUUAAAAUACGUUCCAAGGCAACAUAAAAUUAUAAUAAUUUAGUAUAACCAGUUACCGGAGUAAUGAUGGAGAUCAAGAAGGAAACAUGGAGACGGCGCUGGCCCCGACCCCGCUGGGCUACUGCGCUCGUCUUGCCUGCUCUCCCUGCUCCUGGUCGGUUUCGCACCGCCCAGUCACAGGCAGGGGAAGUCCAAGAUGGACUGUCACAGCGGCGUGAGGGGCACCAUCUGCGAGUACGGAGCACUCACCUUUGAUGGGGAGGAGUAUAUCCCCUUCGAGCAGUACGCAGGCAAAUACGUCCUCUUUGUCAAUGUGGCCAGCUACUGAGGCCUGAUGGGCCAGUACGUGGAACUGAAUGCACUACAGGAGGAGCUGGCCCCGUUGGGUCUGGUCACUCUGGGCUUCCCCUGCAACCAAUUCGGAAAACAAGAACCAGGAGAGAACUCUGAAAUCCUUCCCAGUCUCAAGUAUGUCCGCCCCAGCGGGCACUACGUUCCCAAUUUCCAGCCUUUGGAGAAAGGAGAUGUGAACCGAGAGAAAGAGUAGAAGUUCUGCACCUUCCUGAAGAACCCCUGUCUUCCCACCUCGGAGUUCCUGGGCUCCCCUGACUGCCUCUUCUGGGAACCCGUGAAGGCCCACGACAUCUGCUGGAAUUUUGAGAAGUUGCUGGUGGGCCCAGAUGGUAAACUCGUUAUGCGCUGGUACCACCCGACCACGGUCAGCAACGUCAAGAUGGGCAUUCCUUCUUACAUGCGGCGGCAGGCAGCCCUGGAGGCCCCGGGAGAAAGUAGCUCACCCCACCCCAUGUUCAUCACACCACCCAUGCCCCUCUCCCUCCCUUAA